rnacentral:rRNA from 1 species
GACGAACGCUGGCGGCGUGCCUAAUACAUGCAAGUAGAACGCUGAAGAGAGGAGCUUGCUCUUCUUGGAUGAGUUGCGAACGGGUGAGUAACGCGUAGGUAACCUGCCUUGUAGCGGGGGAUAACUAUUGGAAACGAUAGCUAAUACCGCAUAACAAUGGAUGACACAUGUCAUUUAUUUGAAAGGGGCAAUUGCUCCACUACAAGAUGGACCUGCGUUGUAUUAGCUAGUAGGUGAGGUAAUGGCUCACCUAGGCGUCGAUACAUAGCCGACCUGAGAGGGUGAUCGGCCACACUGGGACGGAGACACGGCCCAGAGUCCUACGGGAGGCAGCAGUAGGGAAUCGUCGGCAAUGGGGGGAAACCUGACCGAGCAACGCCGCGUGAGGGAAGAAGGUUGUCGGAUCGGAAAGCUCUGUUGUAAGUCAAGAACGGGUGUGAGAGUGGAAAGUUCACACUGUGACGGUAGCUGACCAGAAAGGGACGGCUAACUACGUG